rnacentral:lncRNA from 1 species
ACACACCACAUGCUCACUAGUGAAAAAUUGACUUUUUAUAACUCAUAUAUUAUAACGUAGUUUUAUAAAUCAGUUAUAAUAGAGAUGCGGUGGCAAAUUUGUAAAUAAAUUUAAGACAUAUUAUAACGUAGUUUUGUAAAUCAAUUAUAAUAUGAAACACGGUGGCAAACUUGUAAACAAUCUCAAAUUUAUCAUGACGUAGAUUUAAAACUACGUUAUAAUAUCUCAUCAUGUGGUUAAUUCCAUUUCACGAUGCUCUCACUUUCGUUCCUCUCUUCUUCGUCUUUAAACUCCAUUGUCUUCUCUCUUUUGCGUCCCAGAACACUGCCUCCGUCUCUUCUCGCGUUCGCUGCUUCUUCUUUGCCAAAACCUACAUUUUCUUCGUUGCCUCGAGCGUCGCCUCACCCAACCUCAUCUUCGUUUCAACCUUUUUCAUCGAUUAAAUCUCUUCCUACCUCGAACCCUAGAAUCUCCUCCGAACAAAUCUUUGAAUCUAGGGUUUGCCUUUGAUUUCACCGUC